GACGAACGCUGGCGGCGUGCUUAACACAUGCAAGUCGAACGGAAAGGCCCUGCUUUUGUGGGGUGCUCGAGUGGCGAACGGGUGAGUAACACGUGAGUAACCUGCCCUUGACUUUGGGAUAACUUCAGGAAACUGGGGCUAAUACCGGAUAGGAGCUCCUGCUGCAUGGUGGGGGUUGGAAAGUUUGGGCGGUUGGGGAUGGACUCGCGGCUUAUCAUCUUGUUGGUGGGGUAGUGGCUUACCAAGGCUUUGACGGGUAGCCGGCCUGAGAGGGUGACCGGCCACAUUGGGACUGAGAUACGGCCCAGACUCCUACGGGAGGCAGCAGUGGGGAAUAUUGCACAAUGGGCGGAAGCCUGAUGCAGCAACGCCGCGUGCGGGAUGACGGCCUUCGGGUUGUAAACCGCUUUCGCCUGUGACGAAGCGUGAGUGACGGUAAUGGGUAAAGAAGCACCGGCUAACUACGUG
rnacentral:rRNA from 1 species